rnacentral:rRNA from 1 species
GUACACUCCUGCGGGAGGCAGCAGUGGGGAAUUUUGGACAAUGGGCGAAAGCCUGAUCCAGCAAUGCCGCGUGUGUGAAGAAGGCCUUCGGGUUGUAAAGCACUUUUGUCCGGAAAGAAAUCCUUGGCUCUAAUACAGUCGGGGGAUGACGGUACCGGAAGAAUAAGCACCGGCUAACUACGUGCCAGCAGCCGCGGUAAUACGUAGGGUGCGAGCGUUAAUCGGAAUUACUGGGCGUAAAGCGUGCGCAGGCGGUUUGCUAAGACCGAUGUGAAAUCCCCGGGCUCAACCUGGGAACUGCAUUGGUGACUGGCAGGCUAGAGUAUGGCAGAGGGGGGUAGAAUUCCACGUGUAGCAGUGAAAUGCGUAGAGAUGUGGAGGAAUACCGAUGGCGAAGGCAGCCCCCUGGGCCAAUACUGACGCUCAUGCACGAAAGCGUGGGGAGCAAACAGGAUUAGAUACCCCGGUAGUCCCAU